GGCCGACUAGCUCAGUUGGUUAGAGCGUCGUGCUAAUACCCUCUAUUAACGCGAAGGUCUUGGGUUCGAUCCCCACGUUGGCCA